CGGGUGAGUAACGCGUGAGAAUCUGCCCUCAGGAGGGGGAUAACGGCUGGAAACGGCCGCUAAUACCCCAUAUGCCGAGAGGUGAAAUGAAUUUCGCCUGAGGAUGAGCUCGCGUCUGAUUAGCUAGUU
rnacentral:rRNA from 1 species